CUACUCUGUCUCAGUGUCUCUUUUUCUUUCUGUUUUUUUCUCCUGCUCUGUUUCAGUGUCUCUUUGCUCUUUGUUACUUUCCAUUUGAGCAUUCAUCUCUGUUUUAUUUCUUCUCUGCUUUUCCCCUUCUACUCAGCUUUGAGUAUUUUAGCUUCUUUGUGAGCCUAUAUUUUCCCCACUUUGACUUUAUGCAGUCCUCUCUCCUUGCAUAUUUUUGUGCAUUUGUAUGGUCAUGUGUGUGUGUUUGUGACAAAGGGGCUUCCUCACCCCUUCCCAAUAGGUACAGUGUGUCUGCUAUCAAAAUACACAUUGCAGAGCUGUUCAUUAUGCCAGGACACCUGUGAGAUGAUCUAAGUCCUAUGAUGGAUGGAAAGUGGAAAGCUUAUAAUGGACAGAAGGCCCAAAGUAAAAGAUGUUUUGAGACUUGAGACCUGAAGACAAAGAUGGAAAACCUGUCUCAAGAUAGAUGGAAACUUCAGACUUGAUACCAUUCAAAGUCCUGAUAGCCAUGAUGUAACAAGGUGGCCCUUGUUGGAUAGAAGACCUGAGUUGUAUGGGAAGUUCAAGAUUUGAGUUAGAUGUACGUCCAAAGACCCAGUGUAGGAGACCAAAGACCUAAAAAUGGGGACCCCUCGAAAGCCCAAGACAUAAGACACAAUGUAUAAGACCUGAGAUAAAAACUUCAGCUUGAAGAUCUAAGAUCUGAGGAUGGAAGGUCCCAGACACACAUAAAGACCCAGGACUCAAGCUUCUCUAGAAGGAUAGAAGGCCAAAGAGAGAAAUCUAUCUCAAGGCUAAAUUAGGUGGGGAGCUAGAAGCCCAUGACACAGAAUCUGAAAAGGAUGGAAGCCCCAAGACCAAAGGACAUUUUAAGAUGAGAACACUAAACUCCAGUUUUUUUCUAUUGCUAUCCUUCCUACUCUUGGACAUUUUCAGUUCUCCCUUGCCAGUUAGUAUGUUUUCAUUUAAGCCCACUUUUUUGAGAUGCCCUUUAUUUUAGGGAAACAUAUUUUUAGAUUGGCAAUAUUAUGCUUGGUCCAGACUUAAGCCAGUUUUUAUCACGGUUUUGGGCCAUUUCUUGUUUGUUUCUUAAGUUUUCAUUUAUCUUUCCUCCAAACCACUUGAGAGAGACAUAUAGGUAACAUUGUAUUUCAGUCCUCCUUUUUCUUUAGAAGCUAUAGGCUGAUGAGCAAAGGCAAGCAUCAGUCUAUCGUGGGGAAAAAAGGUGCCAGGCUAUCUAGAGAAAAUGUGAAGAGAUGUUCCAGGCCAAUGAGAAGAACUAGACAAGAAAUAUCCAGAUUUGCCAGCCUGUUGAAGCACCAGCCAGCAACACCUUACUUCUUUGAGCUUGUUCCUGGCAUCCUAAGACUACUGCUACUGAUAAGAAUAAGAACGUGUUAUCAUCUGAAUUUUUAUGGCAUAAAUGAAAUUAUGAACAAAUACAUUUUUAAAUGAAAUGACUUCAUCUCUACCCUUCUACGUAAAAGAGAAUCGAUGCCAAGUGCUCCAAUAAAUGGAAAGAUUACCAUUGACUUUUGAACUGAUGUGAAAAUGCAGAAUCUUUGAUCUUUGAGUGUUUUGAAGAUUGAAAAAUCUUGCUUAGCAUGGGUGACCACCAAAAGCAAUCUAAAACCAUCUGCAUGUCACAACAGACAAAUUGGGAAAUGUGUUGUCUACUGUCAAAUAAAAUGUACUGCUUUGAAAAUUUUGUAUUUGCAACAAGUUACCUCACUGUACCUAGGUACACUUAUUUUUUUUAUUACUUAAAUUACCCAGUUUAGAUAAA